GAUGAACGCUGGCGGCGUGCCUAAUACAUGCAAGUCGAGCGAACAGACGAGGAGCUUGCUCCUCUGACGUUAGCGGCGGACGGGUGAGUAACACGUGGAUAACCUACCUAUAAGACUGGGAUAACUUCGGGAAACCGGAGCUAAUACCGGAUAAUAUAUUGAACCGCAUGGUUCAAUAGUGAAAGACGGUUUUGCUGUCACUUAUAGAUGGAUCCGCGCCGCAUUAGCUAGUUGGUAAGGUAACGGCUUACCAAGGCAACGAUGCGUAUCCGACCUGAGAGGGUGAUCGGCCACACUGGAACUGAGACACGGUCCAGACUCCUACGGGAGGCAGCAGUAGGGAAUCUUCCGCAAUGGGCGAAAGCUUGACGGAGCAACGCCGCGUGAGUGAUGAAGGUCUUCGGAUCGUAAAACUCUGUUAUUAGGGAAGAACAAAUGUGUAAGUAACUAUGCACGUCUUGACGGUACCUAAUCAGAAAGCCACGGCUAACUACGUG
rnacentral:rRNA from 1 species